GGAUCCUUGUCCCUGACUGAUGAACUCAACAUAAAGCCACUGACUGAAGGGAAAAGAGACUCAGACAAAGAAUCUGUGUUAAAUGUGAUCAAACAUUCUGAUGGGCAGUUUAACCUUGAGGCUGCGAUUAAAAGUGUUGACACAAUGUCCACUGAGUUGAAGAAAAUAAAUGUGGAAAGCCAGCUACUGCUUUGUGACCUUAUUUUGAAUUUCAACCAUCCUGUGAAAGCCCAAGAUUCCAGAGAAGCUGAAGAAAAGACUUGGAGUUUGACAGAUUAAGUAACAUCCACUUUCAUGUAUUGUCUUCUAUUAAUACUGCUGAAGCUGCUGCUUCUUCCUCUUCUUUCUUCUUCAUCUUCAUCUUCUUUCUUUUAAUUAAGUUUGAACUGUACUAUGAUAGCAUGGUUUCCUGUAGUUAGACUACUUUUAUUUUUAAGCUAAACAUGUGGAAUGGAAAAAAAAGUAGGUUAUUGUUUCUGAGAGGGGUUUUUCAACCCACAUGUCCCAAAUUAAGCCCACAAGGGCUGGAAAGACUGAUGUAAUUAAUUUUAAAGGUCAGGAAACUGGGCAUGAAGUUUUUCACAUGGUUUUCUCCUUUUAAACAAAAACGUGUUGGAAAAGUAACAAAAGAUUUGAAAUAUCUUCAAGUCAUUGCUCUCUUAUCUCAGUUGUGCUCCAGGAAACAGGAUA